UCUCACUUACAUGUUACUGUAUUGCAGCAGGCUGGAUUCCAGGGAUGCAGACCAUGAGGCCUUUCUAGCAUGGCGGCUGUCAGAGAGCGUGUAGUGUCCUGGGUGGAGGAACGACUGGGGACUUCCAGAGGUGCAGCAGGAGCUUUGUGGAUACAGGCGCGACGGAUGGUGCGUCGCAAUAGGCCGCCACAAAGAUUGAGCCCUGGGGAUGAUCAAGGACCACGCCGGAGGAUCCCUUCCUUGCAGCACCCAGUUUCCAGGAUGAAGAGUGGAGGUGGCCAGGCGCUGAUUCGUUGCGGUCGUGGAAGGAGUUCCGGUGUGGCCACACGCCAUGGCAGCGGCUGGCAGGACUUCUCAGAACACGGUUGCAGUAGGUCCCCAAACCUCUGGGAGCAGGACAACAUGGCUACGGUGGGCCCCCAGUUUCCUCUGGGCGCUGCCGGGAGGGAGCAGCAGGACACAGGCCUGGCUAUGCAGGGUGAGUCAGUUCCAGGGGCCUGCAGGGACCUUGAGGACACUGUUGGUGAGUUGGAGGCUGGGGGGACCAUUUCACAGUCAGGAUCUUCCUAGGGUGCUGCAGCCAGCAAGGGUUUGGACAACAGGAUUAUGUUGGCACCCUUAGACUUCCA